GCACCCGUAGCAUAGUGGUUAAUGCGCCUCCUUAGUAAGGAGGAGAUCGCGCGUUCGAAUCGCGUCGGGUGCAACA
rnacentral:tRNA from 1 species